GAAACUUCUAGGAAGUGAUCUACAAUUUAUCACGCAUUUAGGAAGUGAGCAUAGUCUACAAUUUAUCACGCAGUGUUCAUACGGAUCCUAUUUAAAGAUCUUAGAAGAAAUCAACUUUAAUCAAAUGUUAUUUUCUGUCUUCACCAAUUCGCUCCCGAGACUCUUUGUAGUUGGGGUUUUGGAUAGUGAUUUAGAUAUUGUUGUUGGUAUCGAGUCUCUGAGUUGUUGGAUUUUGAGAGUUGAAAUGAUGCCUGUGUUUUCAUUUAAGAUUUUUUACAAAAACCAAAUAACUCUCCCCAACACAAGAACAGAUCACUCCACCACAAUCUUCACCAACGCCCAUUUGUUUUUGAUCAAAUGGUUUACUCUAGCAGCAGCAGCAAUACGUGACGGUGUAGUGUACCUCUGGGGCGAGUAUAAUGAGCGAUUAGCAUUUGUGGAGGAACGCGUAGUGAUGCCGAAAUCUGGGCUGAGCUUUAUCAUCACUGUUCUCCUUGCUUUUGCAGCUAUGAAGUGUCAGUGCCAACCCGGCUUUCCUUAUUUCACCCAUCCUCACCAAGUCAGGUUCACCAUCAACAGCGUCCUGACGUACGGCUUCUCUUGCGCAGCUGAACUUGUUGCUUCAGUUUAGAAGCAUAGGGCGUUGAAAACUGACACCACAAUCGCUACCAAGGCCAUAACCACAUCCCACGUGGUUGAGUCCAUCCCUCUGCACAAUCUUUGAUUGAUCACUAGACGCCACUGCAGACGUCUAACCAGUUCAGAAGCACAGGACGUUGAAAACUGACACCACAACCAGUCAACCACUAUCAAGGCCAAAACCACAGGCCACAUGGGUGAGUCCAUCCUUCUGCAGACUCUUUGCUUGAUUAGUGGACGCCACUGCAGAUGUUUAACCAGGUCCACAAAUGGUAGCUUUUGUUUGGAGGGUGUAUACCUGAAUGCUUAUCUGUAUCCGAUUUAUGUGCUGAUGAUGUGUUUGGUUAGAGAAUUGCUAACUUGAUCAUCAAAGUAGUUGUGCUUGAUUGGUGCAAA